rnacentral:rRNA from 1 species
GUCUGGGACUAAAAUACCCUAAAGUCAUCAGAUUCUGGCUGAUCCUGGAAGCUAAGUAGGGUCUGCCCUGGUAAGUAGGAUGGGAGACCACCAGCAAAUACCAGGUGAUAUAGGCC